AGAGUUAAACAGUAUGUGAAAUUGUUGAAAGGGAAACGAUUGAAGUCAGUCGUGCGGCACCAACUCAACGGUGACGUAAGGUAAAUCCUACUUGGCGGCGAGCUUCAAAACCGCCACCUUGUAGGAUUUGCCUCACGUCGCCGCGUAUUUUGGCGUCUGCUGGUUAGCGUCAAUUUCGAUUGUCAUAAAAAGGCUGGGGGGAUGUGGCUCCUUCGGGAGUGUUAUAACCCUUAGCGGAAUGUGGCGAUCGGGAUUGAGGUUUGCAACUGAAAUUCAGCCUGGCCUCUCGUUGGCGUUUAGGCGGCGACAGCUUGCUGACGACGUUUGGAUUUGCUGGCGAAUAGGUUAGAGCGGAAUGAAAGUUAAGGAUGCUAACGUAAUGGCUUUAAACGACC
rnacentral:sRNA from 1 species